rnacentral:lncRNA from 1 species
ACUUGAUUUUGGUCAACUUCCAUCUUGAUCUUCUUAGGUUAGAUUUAGGAGCUCAGCUUUUAGGAGCUCGAUUUUUAGAAGCUUUGCAUUGGGAGCUUGGCUUCUGUGCACUUUUCAUUAGAAGCUUGGCUUUUGGAAGCUUGGUAUUUAAGAAUUCUACAUUGAAAGCUCGGCCUUCAUCUCGAUCUCAACUUUCACCUCGGCUAAUACGGAAUGGUAGUUUACCUC